rnacentral:tRNA from 1 species
AUUUUAAGUGGUGUAAAAAACACUUAACAUUUUCGUUGUUAAAUUCUUCAAUAGCUUAAAUAA